GACAGAGGUGCCGAGCGUUAGGCGGAAUCACUGGGCUUAAAGCGUGUGUAGGCGGGUCGUUAAGUGUCUUGUGAAAUCCCCCGGCUCAACCGGGGAAUGGCUGGGCAUACUGGCGAUCUUGAGCAGUCUAGGGGCAGAUGGAACAAGUGGUGGAGCGGUGAAAUGCGUAGAUAUCACUGGGAACGCCAACGGUGAAGACAGUCUGCUGGGGACUUGCUGACGCUGAGACACGAAAGCCAGGGGAGCGAACGGG
rnacentral:rRNA from 1 species